UGUUAUGGCGGACCGCGUGGGGAGAUCCUUCGGGGUCUGCCGGUUCCUUUGGCCGGUUCGCCAACCCUGCGCGGUUCGUCACCCUU
rnacentral:antisense_RNA from 1 species